GACGAACGCUGGCGGCGUGCUUAACACAUGCAAGUCGAACGAAGAGCGAUGGAAGCUUGCUUCUAUCAAUCUUAGUGGCGAACGGGUGAGUAACGCGUAAUCAACCUGCCCUUCAGAGGGGGACAACAGUUGGAAACGACUGCUAAUACCGCAUACGAUCUAAUCUCGGCAUCGAGGAUAGAUGAAAGGUGGCCUCUACAUGUAAGCUAUCACUGAAGGAGGGGAUUGCGUCUGAUUAGCUAGUUGGAGGGGUAACGGCCCACCAAGGCGAUGAUCAGUAGCCGGUCUGAGAGGAGGAACGGCCACAUUGGGACUGAGACACGGCCCAGACUCCUACGGGAGGCAGCAGUGGGGAAUCUUCCGCAAUGGACGAAAGUCUGACGGAGCAACGCCGCGGGAGUGAUGACGGCCUUCGGGUUGUAAAGCUCUGUUAAUCGGGACGAAAGGCCUUCUUGCGAAUAGUGAGAAGGAUUGACGGUACCGGAAUAGAAAGCCACGGCUAACUACGUG
rnacentral:rRNA from 1 species